rnacentral:rRNA from 1 species
UACGUAGGCAGCAAGCGUUGUUCGGAGUUACUGGGCGUAAAGGGUGUGUAGGCGGUUUUUUAAGUUUGGUGUGAAAUCUCCCGGCUCAACUGGGAGGGUGCGCCGAAUACUGAAAGACUAGAGUGCGGGAGAGGAAAGUGGAAUUCCGUGGUGUAGCGGUGAAAUGCGUAGAUAUCAGGAGGAACACCGGUGGUGUAGACGGCUUUCUGGACCGUAACUGACGCUGGAGACACGAAAGACGUGGGUAGCAAACAGG